rnacentral:lncRNA from 1 species
UUCCUGCGAUAAAACAACCCUAGGGCCCUCGGGGGGCCAAAAAAUUACGAAAAACUGAAGCUUACCGGUGGUGGUGCUCUCGGGUGCGGCGGCUCUCCAGCGAGAUUCGUGUUUUGGUGAUUUGACUCCGAUCAACCUGUAGAGAAAAGAAUGGUGAUCACGGUGAUAUAAAAAUUGUAUCAAACGGAGGCCGGGAAGGGCCUCAUCGGAGGCAAAAAUCGAGGAGGGACGCGGCGGUGCCGCUGAGCUUCGGUCGUAUUUUUUGACCGUUUGGCCGGGAGUUUGGCUCCGAUUUGGCCACAGGGGAACUUAGCAUUGAAAAAUGAGUCGGGGGUAUGAAAUUUACCUCGAUCAGCAGUCGGAAAACUCCCCGGUGCGGAGGCGGGUGGCGGCGGCCGGCUCCUCCGGCGUCUGGUUCGUCUUCUCCGGUGAGGGCUGACGGCUACGGUUUUUGUGGUCAGGUGUGGGGGGUCUAUUAUACCCUUUGCCUUUUAAUCACAGCCGUCCAUCUUAAUUUAAUCUGGGUCGUUCGAUCGCGAUUUAAUUUGGAUUAAAUCUAGGCCGUCCAUCGCGAU